AUGGCGAUGGUCCUGGAUGCCUUUGCAUCGUACGUGCAAAAUAUGCUCAUCGAGACGGUGAACGAAGAGGUGCACAUGCUGCUUGGAGUCGGAGACGAGAUCGACAGGAUGGAUGUCAAGCUUAGGGACCUCAAGAACUUCCUUGCCGACGCUGACAGGAGAAACAUCACUGACAAGAGUGUCCAGGAGUGGGUGGGGCAGCUCAAGGGCGCCAUGUAUGAAGCUACCGACAUCCUCGACCUUUGCCAGCUCAAGGCCAUGGAGGAAGGUCCAUCCACUGUAGGUGUGGGGUGUUUCAACCCCUUGCUCUUUUGCUUAGAGGCAGGGUGCUUCAACCCCUUGCUCUUCUGCAUGCGGAAUCCAUCCCAUGCCCACGACAUCGCCACCCGCAUCAAGGCGCUCAACAAGAGGCUCGACAUCAUCAAGGAGCGAAGCGCUGCUUUCAGUUUCAUCAAUCUUGGUUCCUAUGAGGAUCGUGGGAGCAAGGUGCACAGCUUUCAUUCUCAGAAUACCAGCCGUGAGACAUCAGGGGAGUUCGACCGGUCAGGUGUAGUCGGAGAGAAGAUCGACCAGGACACAAGAAAGCUUGUCGAGAUCAUGCUCACUGAAAAGGGGGGCAGCACCAACAUCAUGGUGGUCGCCAUUGUUGGCAUCGGCGGGAUCGGCAAGACCACUCUUGCCCAGAAGGUCUUCAAUGACGAAACUGUUAAGGCUGAGUUCGAUGACACAAUAUGGUUGAGCAUUAACCAGGACUUUGACAAGGUUGAGUUACUCAGGACAGUCAUCACGCUCGCCGGGGGAGUACACGGAGGUGAAAAGGCGUUGGCUGUGCUUCAGCCAAUCCUUACUACUGCCUUGACCGGAAAGAAGCUAUUGCUAGUGCUAGAUGAUGUGUGGAGCCAUGGAGCAUGGGGCAAUGUGCUUGAAAUACCCUUGGCUAAUGUUGUGGCUCGAGGUAGCCGAGUCCUUGUCACUACUAGAGAUGAAAGAGUUGCCCGAGGGAUGAAAGCUGUUCUUCCUUACCAUCAUGUCGACAAAUUAGAGGAAGAGGAUGCCUGGUCAUUGCUUAAGAAACAGAUAGUCUCAAGUGAGACAAAUGGACGUGAAAUUGAUAUGCUCAAGGAUAUUGGGUUGCAAAUUAUAACAAAAUGUGAUGGUUUGCCUCUUGCUGUCAAAGUGAUGGGAGGACUCUUGUGCCAAAAGGAGAAAAAGCGCAGUGACUGGAAGAUGGUUCUAGAUGAUUCUAUGUGGUCAGUAUCUGGAAUGCCCGAAGAGUUAAACCAUGCAGUAUAUUUAAGCUAUGAAGAUUUACCUUCUAGCAUGAAACAAUGCUUUCUAUGCUACUCCCUUCUCCCAAAAAUUGCAUUAUUCGAAAGGGACAACAUAAUUGGCUUGUGGAUUAGUGAAGGAUUUCUUCACGGAGCCUCCGACGACUUAGAAGAACUAGGAAAUAAGUACUAUAAGGAGCUGAUACUGAGGAACCUCAUAGAGCCAAAUACAGAGUACGCUAAUCAAUCUGUCUGCACCGUGCAUGAUGUUGUACGCUCAUUUGCUCAAUUUGUGGCUAGAGAUGAGGCACUAGCAGCUCACAGUGGAGAAACUAGUAUUGUUAGUAAACUUCGUGCAAAGAAGUUUCUUCGGUUGUCUCUAGAAAGCAAAUCAUCAGAAUCAGACGGGCUAGAGUGGAGUUCUUUACAAGCACAAAGCACACUGAGAACACUAAUAUCAGUUGGACACAUAAAUUUGAAGCAUGGUGAUUCGUUGGUUAAUUUUCCAUGCAUACGUACUUUACAUAUAGAUUCUGCACAUGUUGUUACACUGGUUGAAUCUUUACAUGAAAUCAAGCACCUGAGGUACUUGUCCUUCCGCUACUGUGAUAUAUCUAGUCUGCCAGAUAGCAUUGGAGAGAUGAAAUUCUUGCAGUACAUUAACCUUGCAGGAUGCCAACAAUUUCUGAAACUUCCAGAUAGCAUUGUAAAAUUAGGGCAGCUAAGGUAUCUUAACUUGGAUAACACCAAUAUAAAUGGCAUACCUAAGGGGUUCCGUGUUCUAACAAAUUUGAGAAUAGUAUCUGGGUUUCCAGCCCAGGAAGAGGAUGAUUGGUGUAGUUUGGAAGAGUUGGCCCCUCUUUCUCGGCUCAAGAUACUUGGACUACAGGGAUUGGAGAAUGUAUCUGCUUCCUCAUCCGCAGCAAAGGCAAAGCUUAGCGAGAAGGUGCAUCUUACUGGCCUAUCCUUGAUCUGUGAUUAUAGAUUGUAUGUGUUGAUUGCGGAGCAAGGUACUAGUGUCUCUGAGGAAGAACAUCAAAAGAUUGAGAAGGUGUUUGAUGAGCUCUGCCCUCCGCCCAACUUAGAUUUUCUUUACAUUAAUGGAUAUUUUGGCCGUCGACUCCCAAGGUGGAUGAUGUCAUCAUCAGUUGUGGCUCUAAAGAGCUUGAGGACUUUGAUGGUUCACGACCUGGCUUGCUGCACAGAGCUUCCUGAUGGCUUGUGUCAGCUUCCUUAUUUGGAGUUCAUUCAGAUCUCUCGUGCACCAAUCAUCAAGCGUAUUGGCCCUGAAUUCAUGCAGCCCUACCACCACCAUGGUCUUCAUCCAACCCAGGUGGCUGUUGCCUUUCCGAGAUUGAGCAAGAUGUUCUUAACGGAAAUGGUGGAAUGGGAGGAAUGGGAAUGGAAGGAGCAAGUGCAAGCCUUUCCUGUCCUGCACGAGCUUGUGCUAAAGCACUGCAAAUUGAAGCGUCUUCCUCUUGGCCUUGCCUCUCAGGCAAGGACUUUGAAUAAAUUAUUCAUACAAUAUGUCUAUGGUUUGAUCUCUGUAGAGAACUUUCCAUCUCUCGUCGAGCUGCAUGUCACUCUAGACUUUGACCUGGAGAGGAUAUCUAAUCUUCCCAGGCUGCAGAAGCUUGCAAUCGGCGGGUGCUCAAAGUUGAAGGUGCUGGAGGGUGUUCCCUCACUCCAAUGGAUCAUGCUCGCGGAUGCAGACAUGGAUACACUCCCAGAAUACAUGGGAAGUAUAUGCCCAAGGUAUUUGGAGCUACUCUGUGGCCUAGGGCUGCUCACUUCUUUAGCCAUGGGACAAUCUGGCCCCGAGUGGGACAAGUUCAGCCAUGUUGGGCAUGUCAAGGCGUAUGCACAUGAAGAAAAUAAUAGGAAUGAAUGGUAUGUCUUGUACACAGCUGACCCCUACAACUUGGAAACAAAUGCCAGCCGUUCUUUCAUGUCUAGAGGAACCUUAUGUUCGUUUGUGGAUGCCCAAAGGUUUGAGUAUGUCUUCAAAAUGACAAGAAAAACCUUUAGUUACAUCUGCAGCUUGGUGAAGUGGGCAUCACUGAAAGAUAUGGACAGCUACACCUUUGUUGACGGGAGGGUGCUGUCUUUAGAAGAUCGGGUAGCCGUUGCUCUGAGAAGACUGCACUCUGCUGAGCUACCAGAGACCUUUGGAUCCUCUGUUGGUGUGAACGAGUCAACCAUCUCGUUGGUAACUGAGAGGUUUGUUGCUGCUGUGUACACCCACGCAAUGCAGAGCUGGCCAGGCUCCAGCGAAAUGGAUAAGAUCAAAUCCAUGUUUGGCAAGAUCUACAAUAUGGAAAACUGUUGCGGUGUUAUAUGUACAACCCACAUCCCAUUUGGACCAAACUGGGAUCAUGAGAAGAAUGUCAGCAUUCUAAUGCAAGUCGUCGUCGAUCCAAAGACGAGGUUUACAAGCAUUUGGGUCGGAUCAGCAGGUAAUGUGAACCGGUUGGCCGUUUUGCAUGACUCUCCAUUCUUUGAGCAGUGCGAGAAGGGGGUUCGCCUGAAUGGCAGCAAGCUGAAGGUAGGAUUAGAUGGAUCAGAAGUCGGGGAAUACAUAAUUGGUGAUGCAGGACAACCUCUUCUCCCCUGGUUGCUCACACCUUACCAAGAAGAAGACCACUCAGACUCCAACUCGGAGUUCAAUAGAAGACACUCCGCAGCCACAUCCUGCAUGCUGAAGGCGCUGGCGAGGUUCAGAAAUACAUGGAAGUACCUGCAGGAAGAGACAUGGCGUCCGGUCAGUCCAGACACUCUGUGUAAGACAAUCUAUGCCUGCUGCUUGUUGCAUAACAUGGUCAUAGAUAUGGGGGAUGAUGGAGUCAUGCGGAACAUUUAUGGGAAUUACCGUGAGGAAGUGCGCCAGAUAGCAAACGAGGACCCCGUCAGGGCGAGGGACAUGCUGUCGGAAUACUUCUUGAGCACUAUGUCAUCCGAAUCAGGAGUGGAUGCAGAGGAGGAUGAUGAAGUAGGCGCAUCAGGCUCAGAGGAUGAAGACAAGGAAGAAAAGGCAGAGACAAUAACAGCAGAUGGAGGCAACAUUAGUCAAUAG
rnacentral:rRNA from 1 species